UACGUAGGGGGCGAGCGUUGUCCGGAAUCAUUGGGCGUAAAGCGCGUGUAGGCGGCUUGGUAAGUCCGGCGUGAAAUCUUGGGGCUCAACCCCAAGCCUGCGCUGGAUACUGCCUCGCUCGAGUCCGGGAGAGGAGAGUGGAAUUCCCAGUGUAGCGGUGAAAUGCGCAGAUAUUGGGAAGAACACCGGUGGCGAAGGCGGCUCUCUGGAACGGUACUGACGCUGAGUCGCGAAAGCGUGGGGAGCGAACAGG
rnacentral:rRNA from 1 species